UGCGUAGGGUGCAAGCGUUAAUCGGAAUUACUGGGCGUAAAGCGUGCGCAGGCGGUUUUGUAAGUCUGUCGUGAAAUCCCCGGGCUUAACCUGGGAAUGGUGAUGGAGACUGCAAGGCUAGAGUUUGGCAGAGGGGGGUAGAAUUCCACGUGUAGCAGUGAAAUGCGUAGAGAUGUGGAGGAACACCGAUGGCGAAGGCAGCCCCCUGGGUCAAAACUGACGCUCAUGCACGAAAGCGUGGGGAGCAAACAGG
rnacentral:rRNA from 1 species